CCUACGGGGGGCAGCAGUGGGGAAUAUUGGACAAUGGGGGGAACCCUGAUCCAGCCAUGCCGCGUGUGUGAAGAAGGCCCUCGGGUUGUAAAGCACUUUCAGUGAGGAAGAACGCCUGGUGGUUAAUACCCAUCAGGAAAGACAUCACUCACAGAAGAAGCACCGGCUAACUCCGUGCCAGCAGCCGCGGUAAUACGGAGGGUGCGAGCGUUAAUCGGAAUUACUGGGCGUAAAGCGCGCGUAGGUGGCUUGAUAAGCCGGUUGUGAAAGCCCCGGGCUCAACCUGGGAACGGCAUCCGGAACUGUCAAGCUAGAGUGCAGGAGAGGAAGGUAGAAUUCCCGGUGUAGAGGUGAAAUGCGUAGAGAUCGGGAGGAAUACCAGUGGCGAAGGCGGCCUUCUGGACUGACACUGACACUGAGGUGCGAAAGCGUGGGUAGCAAACAGGAUUAGAUACCCUAGUAGUC
rnacentral:rRNA from 1 species